CACCUGAGCGGAGUGCCGGCCUCUGGGGCUCCGGAGCUCCGGGAAGGGAGCUGCGGGCGCGCAGGGUCCUGGUAGGGAGCGCUGGGUGGGAAGGGGCUUGGGAGCCCUGGUGUGACGCAGUUUACGGAGCCCGGAGCCCCGACUGUCUGGAGUGUUGAAGCUGCACGGGCAGCUGACCUCUGAAUCUUCUUUUCACAUUUGAUUACCAAGCACUGGGCCAUUUGUUCCUGAGGCUUGUGCACGUCUCAUUGCACUUUAGCCCUGAUCUCACUUCAAUAUGAAGAAGCUGAGGUCCAAAAACCUCUUCUCGUUCUGUUGUGCUUCUGUAAUGGACUGAUUGAUCAACUGAUGAUGAUGCCCAGAGUUACCGUCAGGAAGAGGAAGAGCAGCAAGAGGGGGUUCUCCAAGAAGCCAGAGGAAGGAACGUUUCCCAAAGAAAAGUCAGAUCCCACUCUUUCUCUGGAUGAACAAGACAGCGUGUAGAACCACGACUCUCAUUUCCUGAUGUUUGCUAAGUAAAGUGAACAAAGAGGUAUUUGAAUAGAUCACACUGUUCCUUUUGUGUGAAGAAUUUGGUGUUUGCAAAAGGACUCAAGAUAGAAAAAAUUCUGUUGUGAACACUCCAUUUUCUACAUAAAAUUGUAUCAGGAAUCAUGUGGGGAUACUUAAGACAGGCCGGUACUUUCAAGUUUUCUCCUGCCCAGAUUUGUGUGGAAUAAAUCCAGACCUACCUCUCUCAAAACUCCAACAGGGUAGAAUAGCUGAAAUAAAGUAAACCUGUGAUUACUCACUUCUGUGUUUACUUAGAUAUUCUGGCAUUUGGCUCAAAGACAAAGCUUUUUAGACAUGUUAUUUAAACUCAGUUUUGUCACAGAUUUUAAAUUGGAAGAAAAAAAUAGCAACAGAAUAGAGCUAUUUAAACCAUAUACAUUUAGGCUCACUACCAACUUACCCUUACCCGGCAAUACUAAUAGAAUUUCAAAAAUGCUUUCCAGAGUUGAGCUCUGCCACCUAGCAACCACUUUGAAAUGCUUCCUACACUGGCCCAAGACUACACCAAAUACCCAGUUUUGAAAUUGGUGAGACGUUUUGCUGUGCAUGGGCCACAGGCAUUGAAGGGAGGAUUAGAAUUUUGUUUUUAGGGCAAAGGCAUGCAGAUUAGAAGGAUUGUUUAACUGCUCAACUGGUUUUGGAAUACUGUUGGCCAAUUAAAUGUAGAUGAAAGAUUGCAUUGGAUAUUCUACACUAACAAAUAUUCUUUGUUUAUCUGAAAUUCAAAUUUCACUGGGCAUCCAGUAUUUUUAUUUGAUAAAUCUGCAGCCUAUUGAAGAGACUUUUGUAGUGCAGAGCAGAAGAAUAUAUGUAAAAUAUGCAUCAUGUAUAUUACCUUGAUCUCUCUGAGGCCACAGAAAUUAGGGACCUAAGAAAGAUACGUUUCACAGCUCACUGGCUAUUGGAUCUGUGAAGGAGAUGGAAGCCCAAGAGACCAACAUUCUGGUCAUACAGGAGCUAAUGGAAAGGUACACUCAGAAAGCCUAAACUGAGAGACUGACAGGCAAAGGAAGUAGUUGAAAGUGCCACCUCCAUACAGCACCAAGCAAUCCCCUGGCUGUCUGCACCAGCAUGGGUAACCGGCUUGGCAGUGUAGAGGCUUUGUGUAAGCCCUGCCAGUCAAUUUCACCUAGCCCAGUUCUGAGCUUGGAAGAGGCUGUCACUUUGUUUCCAAUCCAAAUCACAGCCUCUUGUUCCCAGCUCUGCAGCUCAUGCUGCUAACUUAACCCAGCAGUGCAAAAUAACCAAGACAUAGAAGGAACACAUGAUCCCCUUGAAUUUAUCCAUGACUGAACACCUCCUGAUGGACGCACAAGAAACUACUAAUUAUGGCUUCCCUUGGGGGAAUGGAUCAUGGAGGGGAACGUGCACUGCACACAUCCUGUGUACUCACUGGCUUCUUUUAAUAUCUGUACAUUACUGACUCAAAAUGAAAUUUAAAUAUAAUGAUAAUAGACAAACACAGUCCAGAAUCUGACUCAGGUUUAAAUUACCUGUAUCUUUAAUUUAAGAUGGCUCAUUGCAACAGGUGUUUUUAAACAAUUUUUUUUCCUAUGGUUUUGCAUUAUCUACCUCUAUUCAAGAAAGACCUAGGGUCUGACAUUUCAUUAAGCUUUUUUUUUUUUUUUUUUAGAAAAUUUGCUGCUAAACUCAGUGACAAAUUGUAACAUUUGAUGAAAAACAUUUGCUCUGUUUUGUAAUGUUUAUUCUGAAUUCUGUACCAUGUUGUUUUAUGUACCGAUAUCUAAAAGUUCAAAAUUAAAAUUUGGCAGAAGUAGCAGUCUUUCUUUUUUUGAUAAAAUGAAAUAACAGGCUAUCAAAGAAGGAGGUACCUUUCUCUGAAGGGAUGAGAGAACUUCCACUUUGACUAUGACCUUGUCUAAAUAAGAUCGAAGUUGGCGAACUCAAAAGGCUUCCAUAGCCUUGUAAACUCAUGACAAGAGCCUAGGGAGAUUACUGACACCAUAAACAAGAGUAUCAGUUUGUUAAGUCAACAACAGGAAUCACUGUGCACUUACUCCUCAUGUAGGAUCUCUGUCCUUAAUGUGUUGUUCAAUGUGAAUUAAUGCUAUAACUAGUACUCAAACAGUAUUUACACUUUAUGUUCUGUGUGGGUGCAAACUGUUGAAAUCUUUACUUAAUAUAUACUAAAUUGAUCUUCUGUAUAUAAAGAUAAUUGAAAAUGGAUCUUGAUGUGAAUGGAAUGGGAGAGGGAGCGGGAGAUGGGAGGGUUGCGGGUGGGAGGGAAGUUAUGGGGGGGAAAGCCAUUGUAGUCCAUAAACUGUACUUUGGAAAUUUAUAUUUACUAAAUAAAAAUUUAAAAAAUGAAAUAGCAGUCUUUAUAUUUUUAAAAUAAAAGCAAUAUUGAAUUUCCUCUUAUAAAUUCCAUUAGGCAAGCAGUCUUUGUCUCUUGGUCAAUAAUGGAU